GUUAGGAAUAUUGGACAAUGGGCGCAAGCCUGAUCCAGCCAUGCCGCGUGAACGAUGAAGGCCUUCGGGUUGUAAAGUUCUUUAGCCGAUGAUUAUAAUGACUGUAGUCGGAAAAUAAGCCCCGGCUAACUUCGUGUCAGCAGCCGCGGUAAUACGAAGGGGGCGAGCGUUAUUCGGAAUCACUGGGCGUAAAGCGUGCGUAGGCGGUCUCGUACGUUAGGAGUGAAAGCCCAGGGCUCAACCUUGGAAUUGCUCGUAAAGCUGCAAGGCUAGAAUCUCGGAGAGGAUAGCGGAAUUUCCAGUGUAGCAGUGAAAUGCUGAGAUAUUGGAAGGAACACCAGUGGCGUAAGCGGCUAUCUGGACGAGUAUUGACGCUGAGGCACGAAAGCGUGGGGAUCAAACAGGAUUAGAAACCCGGGUAGUCC
rnacentral:rRNA from 1 species